rnacentral:tRNA from 1 species
GCAUAUAUAGCUCAAGUGGUAGAGUGCAUGAUUAGUAUGCAUGAGGUCCUGGGUUCAAUCCCCUGUACCUCCU